rnacentral:lncRNA from 1 species
CCAUGUGGGGAAAGAAACAGAAGCAGGAUGAGCAGAGAGAAAAGUUUCCAAUCCUGCAGGGAACUCUAAUGCUGGAACAGUCCUUCAGAGCCCUGCCUUGGAUCCAGAGAGCCAGGUUUUUAUACCCCUGUAUUAGCCUAUCAUUGUGUUUGGGCUGCCCCAGGAAAGGAGCAGGUGGCUCUCUUUAGAAGAUUCCUUUCCCAAAGAUGGCUGACAGCUGAGUGCUGGCAAUCGAACCUCCCCAGCAACUGGGGUAUAAAGCCUUCCCACAGUGGACAAGAUAUCUGAGCAGUGCAGCCCACGGUCAGGACUGAAGUCCCAUCACUUCUCACAACUUCCACUGCAACCAUCUCCAUCAAGCCAACACUGGGUCAUUCCUGGACUAUUGCAAUAGCACCCUGGAUGGCUUCCUGACUUCAGGUUUUGCCUGCAUACACCUCAUCAGCCACAUCACAGAAGGAGUCCGCUUCUUAAAAACGGGAGUCUUUCCAAUGCCCUGAUCACUACUGACAACGCCAUUCAAACCGAAGUGCUUCUGGAGUUUCCACUACGGCUCAACAGGAUUGGCAGUCUCCCUGGAGCCCUGCAACACAGAAAGAAGAUGGGAAAUAAACAAUCAGAGAGCAGAUUAUAUGAAAUCCAAAGGAAGAGAAAAUUUUAUGAAGAAGCCAUUAUCUGAGACUUUUCAUUGGAUCUGAACUAGGUCAAGUCAGGCAAUGUAGUACAGAAGGUGGAUGGAUAAAAAUGGCAACAGAGGAGUUCCUACUGCAAAACAAUGGGAUUGGCAGUGUCUCUGCAGUGCAAGGACACAGGUUUGAUCCCUGCCCUGGUACAGUGGGUUAAAGGAUCUGACAUUGCCACAGCUGCAGGGUAGGUUGCAGCUGUGGCUCAGAUCUGAUGCCUGGUCCAGGAACUCCAUAUGUUGUGGGGCAGCCAAAAAAGAAAAAAGGCCACAAAGUAGUUAAAAGGGUGUUAUUUUGGUGUGUGAGUCAGGGUUGGUGUUUUCUGUGGCCAUACAUCAUGCUGCAGAGAUGUUGGCUCUGGAAUAUGAACAUCACAUUCAAGAUGUGGAAAGAAGCAAGAAGAUAUCUAGACGGAUAAGUCAAAAGUAAAACCAGAAUGGAAUUGUUGAGCAAAAAACAAACUACAGCUGAUUUCACUAGUUUCCUUUGUUUUCACUGAGAGCAAAGGAAAUGCCCCUUACUUGGUUUGGGUAGUGCAUAUGCCCAGGUCACAACAGAAAUGAGUGUGUGCACAGAAUGGCCCAACUCAGGCUCAGAACUAGGCAUUCAAAUAUUGUCCAUACACACGAUCACUGCCUGAGCCAGAAGUCAUGCAGGAGCUGAUAGCUGUUGGAGUGGUGUUGGUGUUGACUACAUGGUGCAUAGUAGUGGAGGUGAUUGUGCAAGUGGCAGGAGUUAUGGUGUUCAUAACCACAGUGGUGGUAGUAGGAAAGUGUUGAUGAUACAGUUCUUAUAAAUAGUAUGCUUGGUAUUGGGAGAUAUGUCCAUAGGGACCCUGAGAAGUCCUGAAAUCAGAGAUAAUAGAGAACUCCUUAUAGAAAUGGCUUUCAGUUAGGAACUGGGCCAGUUUUAAAAGCAACAGAUAGAUUCUGGACAGAUGAUGUGAGGAAACCAGACUGGGUGAAAACUGUUAUGUACAUGGUCACAGAGAGAGACUAAUAUUCCUGAACUCUUUUGACGUACCUAUUACCCCCACAUCUCUAGUCACCUCUAAGAUGGGCUCACUCUUUCCCCUCUUUGCCUCAGAACCCUAAGUUUGGACCUAGCUAAAAGCUUCAAGCGCAUUGAACUUGACCUCAAAAUGAAGGGAGAAAGAAAGGCUGGUCCUGAAAGAAAAUUUCCCUCUGCCUUUUUGGUUUUUGAGAUUUAUAAAAUUGAUGAUGCUCUUCUCCAUUGUAAAGCCCUUCAAUAGCCCCCUCGGGACCUUAGAAAAAUGCUAAUGAGGACCUUGUAUGCUUGGAUUGAAGAGCAGCCAACCAGCAUUGCUGUCUUCCACACACCUGCCUUCCCGUUUGGACUCUGAGUGUCUUGGGAGCAGAACCUACAUAAUCUUUGUUUCUGUGAGUAUCUCAGUGUCCGGCUCUUAUCAGGUACUCACUUAUCAUUCCCUAAAGAAUGAGUGGCUGCCAUAGCUUUAUCACCCAACCGCUACUGUGUUCAAGGAUACUGAUUACAUAAUGAAAGUGAAACAAUGGAGUAGAGAGUAUAAAUCUGCCUUAAAUAAGAUGAGGCUUAGGACACUCCUUUCUGCAUUUAUUUGGUCACCCAGUACCAGGUUUGUCUGAGCUCUAAAUCCUACUGGUCUUUAGAGUGAACACAGACUAAUUCUCAUUCAUUUUUGUUUCUUCUCUGCCAAGUUUACCUGCUAUGUCUAAGCAAAAAUAUCCUUAAAAAUAAUUUAAUGAAACUGCACGCUACACAUACAUACUAUACAGCAUAAUUAUACAUAUUUCCACAUAUGUGCCAAUUCAUCUCUUUUAAAAUUUUAUCUUAUUCUAGGAGUUCCCGUCUUGGCUCAACAGAAAGGAAUCUGACUAGUAUCCAUAAGGAGGAAGAUUUGAUCCCUGGCCUCAUUCAGAAGGUUAAGGAUCUGGUGUUGCCUGUGAGCUGUGGUGUAGGUCACAGACACGGCUCGGAUCUGGUGUUGCUGUG